GAUCCAGAGUGGUGCUCCACUGAUGAGCACGUGCUGAUUGAGGCCUACAGGAAGUGUCUGAGCGCGCUCAGUCACUGUCACAGCGGCCUUCCAGACGGCGAGCAGCCACUCAGCUUGAGUCUGGCCGGCCACUGCGUGGAGACGUUCAGGUACCAGGUGUCCCAGGACAAAGUGUCCAUCCACCUGCCGGUCUGCAGACUGCUGGCAGGUCUCCACGUUCUCCUCAGCAGGACCGAAGUCACCUCUCGCUUCCCUGAACAGCUUCCUCUGGGGGAACUCAGCCCCCCCUCCUGAUCGAACUCCCCCUCCGCUGCCUGGUGCUCUGUGCCCAGGUGCAUGCUGGGAUGUGGAGGAGGAACGGCUUCUCCCUCAUUAACCAGAUUUAUUAUUAUCACAACGUGAAGUGCAGAGUGGAGAUGUUCGACAAAGACAUCGUCAUGCUGCAGGCUGGUGCGUCCAUGAUGGAUCCGAAUCACUUCCUGAUGAUCGUCCUGAGUCGAUUUGAACUGUUUCACAUAUUCAGCUCUGCAGACUGCAGGAAGAGAUACAGAGAGGCUAACAAGGUCAGUACUGACUCUGACUCUACACUGACU